rnacentral:rRNA from 1 species
GGUUAAGCGACUAAGCGUACACGGUGGAUGCCCUGGCAGUCAGAGGCGAUGAAGGGCGUGCUAAUCUGCGAUAAGCGCCGGUAAGGUGAUAUGAACCGUUAUAACCGGCGAUACCCGAAUGGGGAAACCCAGUGUGACUCGUCACACUAUCAUUAACUGAAUCCAUAGGUUAAUGAGGCGAACCGGGGGAACUGAAACAUCUAAGUACCCCGAGGAAAAGAAAUCAACCGAGAUUCCCCCAGUAGCGGCGAGCGAACGGGGAGGAGCCCAGAGCCUGAAUCAGCAUGUGUGUUAGUGGAAGCGUCUGGAAAGGCGCGCGAUACAGGGUGACAGCCCCGUACACAAAAGCGCAUGUGCUGUGAGCUCGAUGAGUAGGGCGGGACACGUGGUAUCCUGUCUGAAUAUGGGGGGACCAUCCUCCAAGGCUAAAUACUCCUGACUGACCGAUAGUGAACCAGUACCGUGAGGGAAAGGCGAAAAGAACCCCGGCGAGGGGAGUGAAAAAGAACCUGAAACCGUGUACGUACAAGCAGUGGGAGCACAGGUUUACCUGUGUGACUGCGUACCUUUUGUAUAAUGGGUCAGCGACUUAUAUUCUGUAGCAAGGUUAACCGAAUAGGGGAGCCGGAGGGAAACCGAGUCUUAACCGGGCGUUAAGUUGCAGGGUAUAGACCCGAAACCCGGUGAUCUAGCCAUGGGCAGGUUGAAGGUUGGGUAACACUAACUGGAGGACCGAACCGACUAAUGUUGAAAAAUUAGCGGAUGACCUGUGGCUGGGGGUGAAAGGCCAAUCAAACCGGGAGAUAGCUGGUUCUCCCCGAAAGCUAUUUAGGUAGCGCCUCGUGAAUUCAUCUCCGGGGGUAGAGCACUGUUUCGGCUAGGGGGCCAUCCCGGCUUACCAACCCGAUGCAAACUGCGAAUACCGGAGAAUGUUAUCACGGGAGACACACGGCGGGUGCUAACGUCCGUCGUGAAGAGGGAAACAACCCAGACCGCCAGCUAAGGUCCCAAAGUCAUGGUUAAGUGGGAAACGAUGUGGGAAGGCCCAGACAGCCAGGAUGUUGGCUUAGAAGCAGCCAUCAUUUAAAGAAAGCGUAAUAGCUCACUGGUCGAGUCGGCCUGCGCGGAAGAUGUAACGGGGCUAAACCAUGCACCGAAGCUGCGGCAGCGAACGUAUCACUUAAAGCGAUUCAGCGGGUUACGAUUGACGGAGCGAAGCGACGUCAAAGCGUAUACAAAGUCGAGUCGGUUUAAGGAUACGUUCGUUGGGUAGGGGAGCGUUCUGUAAGCCUGCGAAGGUGGCCUGUGAGGGUUGCUGGAGGUAUCAGAAGUGCGAAUGCUGACAUAAGUAACGAUAAAGCGGGUGAAAAGCCCGCUCGCCGGAAGACCAAGGGUUCCUGUCCAACGUUAAUCGGGGCAGGGUGAGUCGACCCCUAAGGCGAGGCCGAAAGGCGUAGUCGAUGGGAAACGGGUUAAUAUUCCCGUACUUGGUGUUACUGCGAAGGGGGGACGGAGAAGGCUAUGUUGGCCGGGCGACGGUUGUCCCGGUUUAAGCGUGUAGGUGUGUGUUCCAGGUAAAUCCGGUUCACUUUAACACUGAGGCGUGACGACGAGGCACUACGGUGCUGAAGCAACAAAUGCCCUGCUUCCAGGAAAAGCCUCUAAGCAUCAGGUAACAUCAAAUCGUACCCCAAACCGACACAGGUGGUCAGGUAGAGAAUACCAAGGCGCUUGAGAGAACUCGGGUGAAGGAACUAGGCAAAAUGGUGCCGUAACUUCGGGAGAAGGCACGCUGACAUGUAGGUGAAGUGAUUUACUCACGGAGCUGAAGUCAGUCGAAGAUACCAGCUGGCUGCAACUGUUUAUUAAAAACACAGCACUGUGCAAACACGAAAGUGGACGUAUACGGUGUGACGCCUGCCCGGUGCCGGAAGGUUAAUUGAUGGGGUCAGCGCAAGCGAAGCUCCUGAUCGAAGCCCCGGUAAACGGCGGCCGUAACUAUAACGGUCCUAAGGUAGCGAAAUUCCUUGUCGGGUAAGUUCCGACCUGCACGAAUGGCGUAAUGAUGGCCAGGCUGUCUCCACCCGAGACUCAGUGAAAUUGAACUCGCUGUGAAGAUGCAGUGUACCCGCGGCAAGACGGAAAGACCCCGUGAACCUUUACUAUAGCUUGACACUGAACAUUGAGCCUUGAUGUGUAGGAUAGGUGGGAGGCUUUGAAGUGUGGACGCCAGUCUGCAUGGAGCCGACCUUGAAAUACCACCCUUUAAUGUUUGAUGUUCUAACGUGGACCCGUAAUCCGGGUUGCGGACAGUGUCUGGUGGGUAGUUUGACUGGGGCGGUCUCCUCCUAAAGAGUAACGGAGGAGCACGAAGGUUGGCUAAUCCUGGUCGGACAUCAGGAGGUUAGUGCAAUGGCAUAAGCCAGCUUGACUGCGAGCGUGACGGCGCGAGCAGGUGCGAAAGCAGGUCAUAGUGAUCCGGUGGUUCUGAAUGGAAGGGCCAUCGCUCAACGGAUAAAAGGUACUCCGGGGAUAACAGGCUGAUACCGCCCAAGAGUUCAUAUCGACGGCGGUGUUUGGCACCUCGAUGUCGGCUCAUCACAUCCUGGGGCUGAAGUAGGUCCCAAGGGUAUGGCUGUUCGCCAUUUAAAGUGGUACGCGAGCUGGGUUUAGAACGUCGUGAGACAGUUCGGUCCCUAUCUGCCGUGGGCGCUGGAGAACUGAGGGGGGCUGCUCCUAGUACGAGAGGACCGGAGUGGACGCAUCACUGGUGUUCGGGUUGUCAUGCCAAUGGCACUGCCCGGUAGCUAAAUGCGGAAGAGAUAAGUGCUGAAAGCAUCUAAGCACGAAACUUGCCCCGAGAUGAGUUCUCCCUGAGACUUAGAGUCUCCUGAAGGAACGUUGAAGACGACGACGUUGAUAGGCCGGGUGUGUAAGCGCAGCGAUGCGUUGAGCUAACCGGUACUAAUGAACCGUGAGGCUUAACCUU